GUAUAGGUUUGUAGGCACAAAGGCCCUUUUCAUUACAUUCUAUAACAUACAUGGUGUAUAUGAAGAAAACAUAGGCCUGGAAAUGUAAGGAAAGACAAAAGUCAAUCCUCAAACCUGACUGCCAGGCAUUCAGAAAGAUAUCCAGAUCUACAAAAGGUGCACAGGUGGAGAUAAUAUAAAGAUGACAAGUGUGCACAUGCCCCCUAGAGAGCCAGCAGCAACCCAUCAGAUUUAUUUCAAUAAUGAUCCUUCCGCAGGUUCACCUACGGAAA
rnacentral:misc_RNA from 1 species